rnacentral:rRNA from 1 species
GAGCUCAAAUUUAUAAUCUGGCACCUUCGGUGUCCGAGUUGUAAUCUCUAGAAGUGUUUUCCGCGUUGGACCGCACACAAGUCUGUUGGAAUACAGCGGCACAGUGGUGAUACCCCCGUACACGGUGCGGACGCCCAGCGCUUUGUGAUACACUUUCAAUGAGUCGAGUUGUUUGGGAAUGCAGCUCAAAUUGGGUGGUAAAUUCCAUCUAAAGCUAAAUAUUGGCGAGAGACCGAUAGCGAACAAGUACCGUGAGGGAAAGAUGAAAAGCACUUUGGAAAGAGAGUUAACAGUACGUGAAAUUGUUGGAAGGGAAACGCUUGAAGUCAGACUUGCUUGCCGGAGCUUGCUUCGGUUUGCAGGCCAGCAUCAGUUUUCCGGGGUGGAUAAUGGUGGUUUGAAGGUAGCAGCCUCGGCUGUGUUAUAGCUUUCCACUGGAUACAUCCUGGGGGACUGAGGAACGCAGCGUGCUUUUUGCGAAGGUUUCGACCUUUUCACGCUUAGGAUGCUGGUGUAAUGACUUUAAACGACCCGUCUUG